rnacentral:rRNA from 1 species
GACGAACGCUGGCGGCGUGCUUAACACAUGCAAGUCGAGCGGUAAGGCACCUUCGGGUGUACACGAGCGGCGAACGGGUGAGUAACACGUGAGUAACCUGCCCUUCUCAUCGGAAUAAGCGUUGGAAACGACGUCUAAUGCCGAAUAUGACUUCGGAAGGCAUCUUCUGAAGUGGAAAGCUCCGGCGGAGAAGGAUGGACUCGCGGCCUAUCAGCUAGUUGGUGAGGUAACGGCUCACCAAGGCGACGACGGGUAGCCGGCCUGAGAGGGUGACCGGCCACACUGGGACUGAGACACGGCCCAGACUCCUACGGGAGGCAGCAGUGGGGAAUAUUGGACAAUGGGCGCAAGCCUGAUCCAGCAACGCCGCGUGAGGGAUGACGGCCUUCGGGUUGUAAACCUCUUUCAGCAGGGACGAAGCGAAAGUGACGGUACCUGCAGAAGAAGGACCGGCCAACUACGUGCCAGCAGCCGCAGUAAAAC